CGACGACGGGUAGCCGGCCUGAGAGGGCGACCGGCCACACUGGGACUGAGACACGGCCCAGACUCCUACGGGAGGCAGCAGUGGGGAAUAUUGCACAAUGGGCGAAAGCCUGAUGCAGCGACGCCGCGUGAGGGAUGACGGCCUUCGGGUUGUAAACCUCUUUCAGCAGGGAAGAAGCGAAAGUGACGGUACCUGCAGAAGAAGCGCCGGCUAACUACGUGCCAGCAGCCGCGGUAAUACGUAGGGCGCAAGCGUUGUCCGGAAUUAUUGGGCGUAAAGAGCUCGUAGGCGGCUUGUCACGUCGGAUGUGAAAGCCCGGGGCUUAACCCCGGGUCUGCAUUCGAUACGGGCUAGCUAGAGUGUGGUAGGGGAGAUCGGAAUUCCUGGUGUAGCGGUGAAAUGCGCAGAUAUCAGGAGGAACACCGGUGGCGAAGGCGGAUCUCUGGGCCAUUACUGACGCUGAGGAGCGAAAGCGUGGGGAGCGAACAGGAUUAGAUACCCUGGUAGUCCACGCCGUAAACGUUGGGAACUAGGUGUUGGCGACAUUCCACGUCGUCGGUGCCGCAGCUAACGCA
rnacentral:rRNA from 1 species